GAUGAAGAACGUAGCGAAAUGCGAUAAGUAGUGUGAAUUGCAGAUUUCAGUGAAUCAUCGAAUCUUUGAACGCACAUUGCGCCCCUUGGUAUUCCGAGGGGCAUGCCUGCUCGAGCGUCAUUAUAACCCCUCAAGCUCAGCUUGGUGUUGGGGCCUGCUGCACUGGCAGCCCUUAAAAUCAGUGGCGGCGCCAUCUGGCUCUAAGCGUAGUAAUUCUUCUCGCUAUGGAGUCCUGGUGGAUGCUUGCCAUCAACCCCCAAUUUUUCUAUGGUUGACCUCGGAUCAGGUAGGGAUACCCGCUGAACUUAAGCAUAUCAAUAAGCGGAGGA
rnacentral:misc_RNA from 1 species